AAUCAAAAGAGAUUCCUCGAGUAACGGCGAGUGAAAGGGGAGAAGCUCAGCGUGUAGCCUCGGGGAUGCCCUCCAAGUGAGUGUGUUAAUCCUACGAUGGGAUGCCACGUAUGGGAGAAAGCUUGAAGAGUCUGCGACCCGGCAAUCCGAACUGUUUGAUGAAACAUUGCCCAGAGAGGGUGUAAGGCCCGUAGGACCGCAGUGUCGUGACUUUUCGCGGCUUUCUCUCGAGAGUCGGGUUGUUUGAGAAUACAGCCUUAAGAGGUGGGAAACUCCAUCUAAAGCUAAAUAUUACUGCGAGACCGAUAGCGAACAAGUACCGUGAGGGAAAGUUGAAAAGGACUCUGAAGAGAGGGUUCAAGAGAGCGUGAAACUGCCACGGGGAUAAAGCGGAUACAUUAGCGUAGUCGAACGGGGAGAUACAGCUCGUUCGUCGUUAACCUCUCGGAUCAAGCGACGUUCAUAGGGAAUUAUCCCGUUGUGUGGCUGCGGAAGCGUUCGCGCCCCGCUAGUCAUUUUCGGUUCUUGGUUCCUCUUGGCGUCGCCCGAGUGAGCGUACUUGCACGAACGAGUCUAUUUCACACCUUAGUAGGCCGUCGCGACGGUUGGAAAGUUGUCUAAGGCUCGAAAGGUCGCGGGAACCUUUCGCCGUGGUCGGGCGCGUUAACGUUUCGGCGUGACUCGCGUUCGGCCGUCUCGACGAAGGGGGACGCUUUCUUGAAUUUACUGGCGGACUUUCCGACCGGAGAAAUAGACGUUGUACUCGAAAUUCGUUUCGAGCGAACGUAAGUGCGGCGCCGAUAGCGACCAAUUUAUCCGUCCCGUCUUGAAACACGGACCAAGGAGUCUAACAUGUACGCGAGUCAAAGGGCCUACUAAACCCCUAGGCGUAAUGAAAGUAAACGCUGGAUUGAUCCGCGCUCUGCGUUCUCGUAGACCGGCGCAAAUCCGGGACCCGUCUUACUGCUUCUCUCUCGAGAGUCGUUCACGUGGCGGGUACCUUGAGCGUACACGUUGGUACCCGAAAGAUGGUGAUCUAUGCUUGGCCGGGA
rnacentral:rRNA from 1 species